rnacentral:tRNA from 1 species
AACUGGAGUAGCUCAGUUGGUUAGAGCAGCGGAAUCAUAAUCCGCGUGUCGGGGGUUCAAGUCCCUCCUCCGCUACCA